rnacentral:rRNA from 1 species
UACGAAGGGGGGCUAGCGUUGUUCGGAAUUACUGGGCGUAAAGCGCGUGUAGGCGGGCUUUUAAGUCAGGGGUGAAAUGCCGGAGCUCAACUUCGGAACUGCCUUUGAUACUGGAAGUCUUGAGUCCGGGAGAGGUGAGUGGAACUGCGAGUGUAGAGGUGAAAUUCGUAGAUAUUCGCAAGAACACCAGUGGCGAAGGCGGCUCACUGGCCCGGAACUGACGCUGAGACGCGAAAGCGUGGGGAGCAAACAGG